UACGAGUGGAAGAGGCCACACAAUUAGUAAGAAUUGUAUCUGAUCCUUCUCCAUUCUGCAUCAUUGGCACGAUAGGUUGUGGCUGAUCCAGCAAUGGGACUCUUCCAGGCAGUGGCCUUGAACCCUUGACAAUAAGAACAUGCAAUCCCAGCUCUAAACUAUUACCUUGAACCCUUGACAAUAAGAACAGGCAAUCCCAGCUCUAAACUAUCUACAUACAUGAACUGCCCAAGCUGCAUCUUGUUGCUGAGGACAAGGUCAUUUUGUUCAAAUGUUAGGCUAGCAUAGAUAAAACAGGAAAAAUCAGAUCCUUUUCAUCAAGGUCUAUUGGCGCGAUGUCGGUCACUUGCAAGAGUGCACUCCGAUGCUCCCUGAUCGGUUUGGUGGCACCCGCAUUCAUGCCAUCAAGGAGCUUCAGUAGAGUUCUUGGAGCCAUUGUCGACAUCUUAUCUUUAAAGCGGGGGAAAAGUAACGAAGCAAAAUGCCAAUGUACAAAUUGUAAGAAUUGGCCGCAUUAUAUAUGUAUCGAUAUAUAUAUUGACCGUAAGGGAGGCGAAUAGCCACCCAAGACUUCAUUGAAAAGAAUAGAUAUUUACAGAGUAGGAGUAUUACAAGAUGAGUGUCAAAAUAAGUAGAAUAUUAGCAGAGUGUGAUAGAAGGUCAUGUAACAAAACUUCUAACCAAAAAAGGUGGCCUCAUUAUAAAUCAAAAUCCGUAAUAACCAUCAGCAUACAAUAGCAAAUACUCACAAUUUAGCUGCAACAGUGAAAAUCUUCUCUAUAUUCCUAUAAAUUCUUCAUUAAACAUAAGUCAUCAUGAAAUACCACUGUAAAAAAGCAAAUGGUUCUAUAAAUUCUUUGUGAGAGAGAGUAUUCAGAAAACUACAUGCAGUGUAGAGUAAUGAAAACUAUGAAGAAAUCCAACUCCAAGUCUGUAGAAUAGGAAACAAUUGGUUGUACUUAUCGUAAAUUAAGACCUAUCAAGAACUUUAAUCAAACAGGUGAUGGUAAUACUGCUUUAACCCAAAAAAAAUACAAUUCUUUAAACACCUAUCAAGAAUUAACCUUAAAUUACCUUCGGGUUACCACAACCAACAAGAAAACAGAAUUCAGUAGAA